UACGUAGGUGGCAAGCGUUGUCCGGAUUUAUUGGGUUUAAAGGGUGCGUAGGCGGCCCUGUAAGUCAGUGCUGAAAUAUCCCAGCUUAACUGGGAGGGUGGCAUUGAUACUGCGGGGCUAGAGUACAGAUGAGGUAGGCGGAAUUGACGGUGUAGCGGUGAAAUGCUUAGAUAUCGGGAGGAAUACCAGUGGCGAAGGCGGCUUCUGGCUUACUACUGACGCUGAGGAGCGAAAGCGAUGGGAGC
rnacentral:rRNA from 1 species